AACGACGCUGGCGGCGUGCCUAACACAUGCAAGUCGAGCGAGAAAGUCCUCGGGGCGAGUAAAGCGGCGGACGGGUGAGUAAUACAUGGAUAAUCUUCCCUCGAGCCUGGGAUAACCCUGCGAAAGUGGGGCUAAUACCGGAUAAGACCACAUGACACAUGUCACGGGGUAGAAGGUGGCUUGUAUUUAUAUGAGCUAUCACUUGAGGAUGAGUCCAUGGCCUAUCAGCUAGUUGGUGAGGUAAGAGCUUACCAAGGGCUAUGACGGGUAGCUGGUCUGAGAGGACGACUAGCCACACUGGGACUGAGACACGGCCCAGACUCCUACGGGAGGCAGCAGUGGGGAAUAUUGGGCAAUGGGCGAAAGCCUGACCCAGCGACGCCGCGUGGGUGAUGAAGGCCUUCGGGUUGUAAAACCCUUUCGUGCGGAAAGAAUAGUCCUGUAGCGAAUAACUACGGGAUUUGACGGUACCGCAGGAAGAAGCACCGGCUAACUCCGUG
rnacentral:rRNA from 1 species